rnacentral:rRNA from 1 species
AGUGGAUGGGGAGCAACCUAGUUGUGCGUGUGUAAAGGUAGUGCCAAGAAAAGCGAUGAUCAUGUUGAAAAUCAAUUCCCGGUACCCGAAACCGACACAGGUGGGCAAGUAGAGAAUACUAAGGGGCGCGAGGUAACUCUCUCCAAGGAACUCGGCAAAAUGACCCCGUAACUUAGGGAGAAGGGGUGCCACCGAGAGGUGGUCGCAGUGAGGAGGCCCAGGCGACUGUUUAGCAAAAACAUAGGUCUCUGCAAACUCGAAAGAGGAGGUAUAGGGGCUGACGCCUGCCCAGUGCCGGAAGGUUAAAGAAGUUGGUGUCUUAGGAUGAAGCUAGCGACUGAAGCCCCGGUGAACGGCGGCCGUAACUAUAACGGUCCUGAGGUAGCGAAAUUCCUUGUCGGGUAAGUUCCGACCCGCACGAAAGGCGUAACGAUCUGGGCGCUGUCUCGGAGAGAGGCUCGGCGAAAUAGGAUUGUCCGUGAAGAUACGGACUACCUGCAUUUGGACAGAAAGACCCUAUGAAGCUUUACUAUAGCUUGGAAUUGUGUUCGGGCUUCCUGUGCGCAGGAUAGGUGGGAGGCGUAGAAGGUAUUCUUGUGGGGAUACUGGAGCCAACGGUGAGAUACCACUCUCAGGAGGCUAGAAUUCUAACUUAAUUAAGGACAGUUUCAGGUGGGUAGUUUGACUGGGGCGGUCGCCUCCAAAAAGGUAACGGAGGCGUACAAAGGUUCCCUCAGACUGGUUGGAAAUCAGUCGAAGAGUGCAAAGGCAGAAGGGAGCUUGACUGCGAGAAGUACAGUUCGAGCAGGGUGGAAACACGGUCUUAGUGAUCCGACGGUGCUGUGUGGAAGGGCCGUCGCUCAACGGAUAAAAGUUACUCUAAGGAUAACAGGCUGAUCUCCCCCAAGAGUUCACAUCGACGGGGAGGUUUGGCACCUCGACGUCGGCUCAUCGCAACCUGGGGCGGAAGUACGUCCCAAGGGUUGGGCUGUUCGCCCAUUAAAGCGGUACGUGAGCUGGGUUCAGAACGUCGUGAGACAGUUCGGUCCAUAUCCGAUGUAGGCGUGAGAAUAUUGAGAGGAGCCUUCCUUAGUACGAGAGGACCGGGAAGGACGCACCGCUGGUGUACCUGUUAUGAUGCCAAUUGUAAACGCAGGGUAGCCAAGUGCGGAGAGGAUAACCGCUGAAAGCAUCUAAGUGGGAAGCCCACCUCAAGAUGAGUAUUCUGGUGUAAGGUCACGGGAAGACGACCCGUAAAUAGGCACGAGGUGGAAGUGCAGAGAUGUAUGAAGCCGAAGUGUACUAAUAGACCGUCGGCUUG